rnacentral:rRNA from 1 species
AAAAGUCGUAACAAGGUCUCCGUAGGUGAACCUGCGGAGGGAUCAUUACACAAAUAUGAAGGCGGGCUGGAACCUCUCGGGGUUACAGCCUUGCUGAAUUAUUCACCCUUGUCUUUUGCGUACUUCUUGUUUCCUUGGUGGGUUCGCCCACCACUAGGACAAACAUAAACCUUUUGUAAUUGCAAUCAGCGUCAGUAACAAAUUAAUAAUUACAACUUUCAACAACGGAUCUCUUGGUUCUGGCAUCGAUGAAGAACGCAGCGAAAUGCGAUAAGUAGUGUGAAUUGCAGAAUUCAGUGAAUCAUCGAAUCUUUGAACGCACAUUGCGCCCUUUGGUAUUCCAAAGGGCAUGCCUGUUCGAGCGUCAUUUGUACCCUCAAGCUUUGCUUGGUGUUGGGCGUCUUGUCUCUAGCUUUGCUGGAGACUCGCCUUAAAGUAAUUGGCAGCCGGCCUACUGGUUUCGGAGCGCAGCACAAGUCGCACUCUCUAUCAGCAAAGGUCUAGCAUCCAUUAAGCCUUUUUUUCAACUUUUGACC